rnacentral:rRNA from 1 species
AAUGAACGCUGGCGGCGCGCCUAAUACAUGCAAGUCGAGCGAGAAGACGUAGCAAUACGUUUGUAAAGCGGCGAACGGGUGAGGAAUACAUGGGUAACCUACCCUCGAGUGGGGAAUAACUAGCCGAAAGGUUAGCUAAUACCGCGUACGCUCCUUGGACUUCGGUUCAGGGAGGAAAGCGAUACCGUGGGUAUCGCGCUCUUGGUUGGGCUCAUGUCCUAUCAGCUUGUUGGUGAGGAACGGCUCACCAAGGCUUCGACGGGUAGCUGGUCUGAGAGGACGAUCAGCCACACUGGCACUGCGACACGGGCCAGACUCCUACGGGGAGCAGCAGUAAGGAAUAUUGCGCAAUGGGCGAAAGCCUGACGCAGCGACGCCGCG